GGGGAUGUAGCUCAGUUGGGAGAGCGCUGCCCUUACAAGGCAGAGGUCGUCGGUUCGAGCCCGGCCGUCCCCACCA
rnacentral:tRNA from 1 species